GACGAACGCUGGCGGCGCGCUUAACACAUGCAAGUCGAGCGAAGCGGCGGACGGGUGAGUAACACGUGAGUAACCUGCCUUAGACACUGGGAUAGCCUCGGGAAACCGGGAUUAAUACCAAAUGGUCUAAGAUGGACUUGCGUCCCAUUAGCUAGUUGGUGGGUAACGGCCCACCAAGGCGACGAUGCGUAGCCGGCCUGGGAUGGUGAGCGGCCACAUUGGAGCGGAGAAACGGUCCAAACUCGACGGGAGGGAGCAGUGGGGAAUCUUGCACAAUGGAGGGAGCUCUGAUGGAGCGACGCGGGGUGAACGAAGAAGGCUUGCGAGUCGUAAAGUGCUUUUAUAUGAGAAGCGGUACCAUAAGAAAAAGCCCCGGCUAACUACGUGCCAGCAGCCGCGGUAAUAC
rnacentral:rRNA from 1 species